AGCCGAGCGGUAGAGAUCUUUCGGGAUCUUGAGAGCGGCGUACGGGUGCGGAACACGUGUGCAACCUGCCUUUAUCAGGGGGAUAGCCUUUCGAAAGGAAGAUUAAUACCCCAUAAUAUAUUGAAUGGCAUCAUUUAAUAUUGAAAACUCCGGUGGAUAGAGAUGGGCACGCGCAAGAUUAGAUAGUUGGUGAGGUAACGGCUCACCAAGUCUACGAUCUUUAGGGGGCCUGAGAGGGUGAUCCCCCACACUGGUACUGAGACACGGACCAGACUCCUACGGGAGGCAGCAGUGAGGAAUAUUGGACAAUGGGUGCGAGCCUGAUCCAGCCAUCCCGCGUGAAGGACGACGGCCCUAUGGGUUGUAAACUUCUUUUGUAUAGGGAUAAACCUACUCUCGUGAGAGUAGCUGAAGGUACUAUACGAAUAAGCACCGGCUAACUCCGUGCCAGCAGCCGCGGUAAUACGGAGAGUGCAAGCGUUAUCCGGAUUUAUUGGGUUUAAAGGGUCCGUAGGCGGAUCUGUAAGUCAGUGGUGAAAUCUCACAGCUUAACUGUGAAACUGCCAUUGAUACUGCAGGUCUUGAGUGUUGUUGAAGUAGCUGGAAUAAGUAGUGUAGCGGUGAAAUGCAUAGAUAUUACUUAGAACACCAAUUGCGAAGGCAGGUUACUAAGCAACAACUGACGCUGAUGGACGAAAGCGUGGGGAGCGAACAGGAUUAGAUACCCUGGUAGUCCACGCCGUAAACGAUGCUAACUCGUUUUUGGGUUUUCGGAUUCAGAGACUAAGCGAAAGUGAUAAGUUAGCCACCUGGGGAGUACGAACGCAAGUUUGAAACUCAA
rnacentral:rRNA from 1 species